UCAACACUACAACCAGACGGCGCGGCUCAC
rnacentral:piRNA from 1 species